GUGAGUUUACACGACUCAGUAAUGCACUACAACAUGUUAUUGUUAAUUGGGAUUUAUCAUUACUCUGUUAAUCACUGAGUUGAUCAAAAAUAAAUCAAUAAUAAAAGAUAAAUACUAUAAAUAUAAGAAUAAAACCCAAAGAGUAUAUUUAACACCCCUACUGGUUAGGAAGGAACAAGCCCCGCCUUCCCCUGCUCUGUACCGUCACGUGCUCAGACACAGAGAGAGACGGAGGUGCACGAGACCAUCACUGAUUUUCACCGCCAAGCUUUUCGCUGGAAAAUAACUAUUAACUUGAUAAAUUGAGCAAAUAUCCAUACCGGAGAUCUGCAUGGACCUUGGAGAAACGGACCUGAUUUAUUGUGAACAUUUCGGACCUUGAAACCAUCGCGAUCUGCGCGGGAGCGGAUGAAGUGGACAAGAUCCUCUCUGAGAGUUGAACAAGAUCCUCUCUGAGAGUUGAACAAGAUCCUCUCUGAGAGUUGAACAAGAUCCUCUCUGAGAGUUGAACAUUAGAAGUGUGCUGGCUAGGUUUUUUUAUGGGAUCGUGAGACCUGGAUCUCUUCCUGACGAGGAAGAUGGCGAG